UCUUUUCAGGUCUGUGGUUGCGAAGUUCUCUGUGAGCUUUUAGUCCAUGACAGACGAGGUCAAAGGGAUCCACGUAAGUUUGCGUGUGCGCACGUAAACGAUCAUGGCUCGUCCUAGAAGUAAGCCAUACCGCCUGUUAUAUCAAAGAGACAAAGGGUCUCGCAGGCGAGAGAGCUAUUAGUGGAGUUACUGCGGUAGCAAAGCAAACGCUCCAGUAUGCGAGUGUGGGGUCAAAUACCAGGUCAGCUGAAAAGA
ncrna:unclassified sequences raiA RNA